rnacentral:lncRNA from 1 species
GUGUGGGAUGACGAGGAAAGCCCAUGUGAAGCGACUGUCUCCUGCCUGUUUAUUGAGGGCUCCGGAGUGCUCUUCAAAACCAUCUUCCUGCCCUUUUCGGCAGACAGCAGCAUCUCAGGGAUGCCUUUGCCUCCCAGAGGGGCCGGAGGUGGGCAGGGAACAGAAACCUCAAAGAGUCCUGCAGCUCUCUCAGCGAGAAGCCGCCACAGCCCUUCUCGAGGCGUGCGCCCGAAAUGCACUUCUUCUAGCUGGAGGCCAAAGAGGCGAGGCACCGCGACUCACACCUGUAAUCCUAGCACUGUGGGAGGCCAAGGUGGGCGGAUCACCUGAGAUCAGAAGUUGGAAACCAGCCCGGCCAACAUGGUAAAACCCCAUCUCUAAUAGAAAUACAAAAAUUAGCCAGAAAUCACUUGAACCCAGAAAGCAGACAUCGCAGCGAGCCGAGAUUGUGCCACUGCACUCCAGCCUGA